rnacentral:rRNA from 1 species
UACGGGGGGAGCAAGCGUUGUUCGGAUUUACUGGGCGUAAAGGGCGCGUAGGCGGCCAGCGCAAGUCAGUUGUGAAAUCUCCGGGCUUAACUCGGAACGGUCAACUGAUACUGCGCGGCUAGAGUGCAGAAGGGGCAACUGGAAUUCUCGGUGUAGCGGUGAAAUGCGUAGAUAUCGAGAGGAACACCUGCGGCGAAGGCGGGUUGCUGGGCUGACACUGACGCUGAAACGCGAAAGCUAGGGGAGCGAACGGG